rnacentral:rRNA from 1 species
AUUGAACGCUGGCGGCAUGCCUUACACAUGCAAGUCGAACGGUAACAGGUUAAGCUGACGAGUGGCGAACGGGUGAGUAAUGUAUCGGAACGUGCCCAGUCGUGGGGGAUAACUGCUCGAAAGAGCAGCUAAUACCGCGUACGACCUGAGGGUGAAAGCGGGGGAUCGCAAGACCUCGCGCGAUUGGAGCGGCCGAUAGCAGAUUAGGUAGUUGGUGAGGUAAAGGCUCACCAAGCCGACGAUCUGUAGCUGGUCUGAGAGGACGACCAGCCACACUGGGACUGAGACACGGCCCAGACUCCUACGGGAGGCAGCAGUGGGGAAUUUUGGACAAUGGGCGCAAGCCUGAUCCAGCCAUGCCGCGUGCGGGAAGAAGGCCUUCGGGUUGUAAACCGCUUUUGUCAGGGAAGAAAAGGUUCUGGCUAAUACCUGGGACUCAUGACGGUACCUGAAGAAUAAGCACCAGCUAACUACGUGCCAGCCGCCGCCGUAAUAC